AGCGAACGCUGGCGGCAGGCUUAACACAUGCAAGUCGAGCGGGCACUUUCGGGUGUCAGCGGCGGACGGGUGCGUAACGCGUGGGAACGUGCCCUCUGGUUCGGAAUAACUCAGGGAAACUUGAGCUAAUACCGGAUACGCCCUUUUGGGGAAAGGCUUGCUGCCGGAGGAUCGGCCCGCGUCUGAUUAGCUAGUUGGUGAGGUAACGGCUCACCAAGGCGACGAUCAGUAGCUGGUCUGAGAGGAUGAUCAGCCACACUGGGACUGAGACACGGCCCAGACUCCUACGGGAGGCAGCAGUGGGGAAUAUUGGACAAUGGGCGCAAGCCUGACCCAGCCAUGCCGCGUGAGUGAUGAAGGCCUUAGGGUUGUAAAGCUCUUUUAUCCGGGACGAUAAUGACGGUACCGGAGGAAUAAGCCCCGGCUAACUUCGUG
rnacentral:rRNA from 1 species